rnacentral:lncRNA from 1 species
CAUGCUAGACCAAUCUGUUUGAUAAUAUCCGAGUGCGUUGGGCCAUGGAGGUCCUUGAGAUCAAUGAGAGGAAUGGAGGAGGCAUCUGAUACCUGAAAAUCAGUGAAAUUUGGACGAUCGGAGAUGGGUCUGAUGUAGUUUGAAGGGAUAUGGUUCACACCAGACAUGAGGUCUGUAAGCAGUAGGUUUGUUGUGGUGGCCAUUUUGCUUACGACUGAAGAGAAAAG